CUUCAAGGAGCCCAGCCACAGGGGGCGUUCGCGGUCCUGUCCGUAGGUGGCGAGCAGCGCCUGGGCCUC
rnacentral:antisense_RNA from 1 species